UUAUGAGGAGAUGAGUGUUGAAGAUAAAGUUCCCCACACUGUUAAGAACCUGUUCAUCGAUCUGGCUGAGAGUAUUGCAAGUAGUCUUAAUAUAACUAACUGCUUUGUAUGUGGAGGUACAAAUAUGGGAGACCAAUGGCCAUGGGAAGCAAGAGAAGUAUGGUACCCUGGUUCUGAGACAAAUGAGCAACAGAUGCCUUCCCACUCCAGUAAUCAAG